rnacentral:tRNA from 1 species
UCCCUGGUAGUAUAUCGGUUAGUACACGCGCUUGUCAUCAUGAAGGGUGCGCGCGAAAGCGGGGUUCGACUCCCCGCCAGGGAG